CUGAAGCUAAUUUACAGCAGCUUGAAAUCCAGCCCUAGAAAUGGAAGGUGUAGCCGGAUGAGGGGAACUGGAGUGAAAGGGUCGUCUUUCAGGAGGGACCUACUUUUGGACAGACUCAAAGGCUGAGGAAUUAAUGACAAGGCACAGCAUCCUGGCAGCUGAAAUACAGAGUGCCAGCCUGCAAUACCAUCCUCUCAACAUGCUUGCUAAAGAUUUCUUCUCUACAAGACAGCCUGCCUGCCACAUCUGCUCUUUGCUGUGAUUCCCUUCCAGGCUUUGUGCACCAUCUUAUAGUCAUGUCUGCUGGGUGAGCACUGAACUAACACAUUUAGAAGAACUCUGCAAUUUUGACACAUCGCAUUUCAAGUAUCAGCUUGCUGGAAGUGCAGUGGAGGGGGCUGAGGACGGAAGCAGUGCAUGUUUUGCCAACACACCUGCACAAGCUUUGGGCUCUCCUGGACAAUAUGUGAACUAAUGAUGUAUAACCUGUAGAGGCUGGCAAUACACUCUCUGAAGACUAUA